GCUAAAAGGAACAGAUCUAUUCAGAAGGAGAUCAAAAUUCUUCUUUUUUAGUAGAUAAACAUAAAAGUGAGCUUCUCUUUCGGUCGUCACCGGCCAGAUCCUCAAUCAUCGCUGGCCAGAGGAGUAUGUCGUCGUAUCGACAUGAGCCUCCAUCGUUGCUGGCCAAAGCCCCCACCAUCACUGGCCAUAGCCUCCCUCGUUGUCGGCAUACCCAGUCUUUCUCCGAGCUCUAGCCAUGGUUAUUUGGAGAAUAUGUAUAUCAGCAUAUCACAACCUCUCUGAUUAGUGGAAAUUCCUUGUUAUGAUGUAACAACUUUGGAAGGACAUACAUCUAAGGUUUUUGGUUGUGCUUGGAGUCCAAAAGGGUCUUUUCUUGCAUAUGGGUUGGAAGCUUUUGAAGGUUUGAAGUCUAGAAGGAAGAUCUUAGGAAAGUUUUCUCUCAAGGCAAAGUAUCUCCUCAUAUAUUCGAGGGAAUAAUCCUUUUCGUAGUUUUUACUUAAAGACUUGUUAUGUAUUUUACUUUAUUGUAGAGGGCCAUGUCCCUAAGAUAUUAUGUCUAUUAUGUCGUGUCUUUAAGUUGGCUUGUGACGACGAUAUUCUCUAUGUAUUUAUGAAAGAUUGU